UACGAAGGGGGCUAGCGUUGCUCGGAAUGACUGGGCGUAAAGGGCGCGUAGGCGGCUUGUAUAGUCGGAUGUGAAAUCCCCGGGCUUAACCUGGGAACUGCGCUUGUAACUGGCAAGCUAGAGUGUGGCAGAGGGGGGUGGAAUUCCACGUGUAGCAGUGAAAUGCGUAGAGAUGUGGAGGAACACCGAUGGCGAAGGCAGCCCCCUGGGCUAACACUGACGCUCAUGCACGAAAGCGUGGGGAGCAAACAGG
rnacentral:rRNA from 1 species